AGUGAACGCUGGCGGCAGGCCUAACACAUGCAAGUCGAACGGCAGCACAGUAAGAGCUUGCUCUUAUGGGUGGCGAGUGGCGGACGGGUGAGGAAUACAUCGGAAUCUACUCUUUCGUGGGGGAUAACGUAGGGAAACUUACGCUAAUACCGCAUACGACCUACGGGUGAAAGCGGAGGACCUUCGGGCUUCGCGCGAUUGAAUGAGCCGAUGUCGGAUUAGCUAGUUGGCGGGGUAAAGGCCCACCAAGGCGACGAUCCGUAGCUGGUCUGAGAGGAUGAUCAGCCACACUGGAACUGAGACACGGUCCAGACUCCUACGGGAGGCAGCAGUGGGGAAUAUUGGACAAUGGGCGCAAGCCUGAUCCAGCCAUGCCGCGUGGGUGAAGAAGGCCUUCGGGUUGUAAAGCCCUUUUGUUGGGAAAGAAAAGCAGUCGGUUAAUACC
rnacentral:rRNA from 1 species